AUACUUACCGAGACUGGUCUAUGGAUGAUCCGAAGGUCCAUUGGCUUAGGUUAGCGACCUCCAUUGCACAGUUAAGAGAGGUGCUCUCCUAAGAGCUCCCCAUUGAGGGAGAGUGUCUAUGGUCAUUACUUGUUCCAGGGAGGGUACAUGUUUCUGUGGCACUACC